CGGAAAACUGGGGAUAAUAGGAGAUAGAUAAAAGAGACUGGAAUGUUCUUUGAUCCAAAGCUGGUGCGCCUGAGGAGGGGCCUGCGUCCGAUUAGGUUGUUGGUGGGGUAAUGGCCCACCAAGCCUGCGAUCGGUACGGGCAGUGAGAGCUGAAGCCCGGAGUUGGGGACUGAGACAAGGCCCCAGGCCCUACGGGGCGCAGCAGGCGCGAAACCUCUGCAAUGCGGGAAACCGUGACAGGGGGAUCCCGAGUGCUCCUGCAUUGCCUGGGCUGUUCUUUGGUCUAAGUACCCAGAGGCGUACGGGCUGGGCAAGACCGGUGCCAGCCGCCGCGGUAACA
rnacentral:rRNA from 1 species